AGGGCUUUGUCUUAAUUUAAAGAACUUGAGUUGCAUUCAUGAGAUGCGGGUUAAUAUCCUGCAAGUCCUA
rnacentral:tRNA from 1 species